rnacentral:rRNA from 1 species
GAUCCUGGCUCAGGAUGAACGCUAGCUACAGGCUUAACACAUGCAAGUCGAGGGGUCAGCAUGUUGGUUGCUUGCAACCGAUGAUGGCGACCGGCGCACGGGUGAGUAACGCGUAUCCAACCGUACCCUUGUCCAUCGGAUAACCCGUCGAAAGGCGGCCUAACACGAUAUGCGGUUCACCGCAGGCUAUCUAACGUGAACGAAAUUGUGAAGGAGAAGGAUGGGGAUGCGU